UGUCGUUCUCAAAUAAAUAUCACAAUGAUAUUGGCUUCUGUAAUUGACUAGCCACGAUGAAAUUAAAGUGUUAUCAAUGAUAAGCUUUAUAGGUUGAACCUAAUACUAAAAAGAUUUUGAAAGACAUAACAUUUUAAAUCUUGCAAAUACGUGUAAUUAUAAAUUUCAGCUUUUUAUUUUAUUUUUAGUCUAUUGUUUGAGAUGGUGAAUUGACCUCUAGACGUCUUUUCAAUUUGGCUUUGAGUUGUUUUUCUUAUUGUUGUGCAU
rnacentral:lncRNA from 1 species